CCUGUUGAAUGUUUGCAACGUUCAAAUGUCAAUAUACUUCAUUCUCCUGUGGUUUCACAUAGUCUGAAUCCAGUAACCUUCUGGCCAGAUUGAAGACGACCUGUUUGGCAGGAUUUUUAAAGAGAGAUUUUCUCUUUGAUUUGCCCACAUCCUCCUGAUGCUGAAGUAUCCAAAAGAGAGGAGAGGAAAGUGAUUGCAGAAGCAAGAUAAACUUGGAACGUAGGAAGCUGCGGUUGAAUUAUUUUAUGGGUGUGAACACAGGCUCAGAGAAGCCCUGCUGUCACUGCAGCACGCUUAUUUUGAAGAUAAGUGUGAAUCAGCAUGCUGUUCUUAUAGGCAAAGAAGUAGCAGCAAGAAAUCUCAGACUAUGCAAGAGGAUCAUGACCUGGCAAUCAGAGGAUUUCUGCACUGAUCCAAGCCAGAAAAAUGCUACUUUGCUUGGUGGACACUUCCCAUGGAUUUCUUACACAUCCACAUCCAAGGAGUGGAUCUAUCUGUCACGCACACCAAGCUGCUAACGCCCGUGUGGUCUUGGUAGGAAAAUGCAAAGGAAAUCCAAAAGUGCUGGCCUUGACUCCCUUCCUCACUGUCCUUCCAUACCUGCUCUGCCUUGGCUUUGUGCCCUGCUCCCUCCCUAGCGCUCUUAUCUCCCACUGAACCUGAGAAACAAAUGCUUGUGGAAGCUAAGUCGUCCCCAGCUGUUCGCUCUGUUCCUGAGCUCCCUUCCUCCCUCUCAUUCCUUUUGGAUCUGUUUCUAAACUUUUUGGGGCAGCAACUACUUUUCUGCAUGCAACAUCAAUGGACACUGUUCUUGGCUGGCCUCAAGGCACAACUGGAAUAAAUGUGAAUAACAACAACAGUGACAAAAAG
ensembl:lncRNA